GCCUGGCUGGCUCAGUCGGUGGAGCAUGUGACUCUUAAUCUCAGGGUUGCGAGUUCGAGCCCCGCGAUGGGUG
rnacentral:tRNA from 1 species